UUUGUAGUUCGAGUCGGUCGUCGAACGGAACGAACGGACGUCGGUCGGGCGGUGGAGUUAGGUACGAUGUCAAGUACGUAACGGUAAGUCUAUCUUCUAGGGGUGAGAGAGUGGCGAACUGGUGAGUAACACGUAGGUUAUCUACCCUCAAGACGGGGACAACCCAGGGAAACUUGGGCUAAUACCGGAUGUGAGCAACUUUUAGUUGUUUGAAAGGUGGCGUAAGCUGUCGCUUGGGGAUGAGCCUGCGUCCUAUUAGUUAGUUGGUGAGGUAACGGCUCACCUAGGCAAUGAUAGGUAGGCGGCCUUAACGGGUGGUCGCCCACACUGGGAUUGAGAUACGGCCCAGACUCCUACGGGAGGCAGCAGUCGAGAAUAGUCUACAAUGGUCGGAAGACUGAUAGUGCGACGCCGCGUGAACGAUGAAUCCCUUCGGGGUGUAAAGUUCUUUUAUAUGUGAGCAGUGCUUCUUAUAUUAACAGUAUGGGGAGAGAGAUAUUAGCAUAUGAAUAAGCAACGGCUAACUCCGUG
rnacentral:rRNA from 1 species